rnacentral:misc_RNA from 1 species
CCGUUUGGUAAGGGGGGGGGGGCCGACGCUGGUGGAGAGGGGACACCGCCUCCUCCCGAAGGAGGUACCAGUGUUCAGACCCGGCUCAUGGGGGUGUAGAGCGCGAGCCCUCUCCGGAUCAAAAUCACAAAUGCUGAUAUUGAUCCUGCUGCAGGUUCACCUACAGCAA